rnacentral:rRNA from 1 species
GACAGAGGUCCCGAGCGUUAGGCGGAAUCACUGGGCUUAAAGCGUGUGUAGGCGGAGUUCUAAGUACCUUGUGAAAUCCCAACGGCUCAACCGUGGAACUGCUUGGUAUACUGGUUCUCUUGAGCCACCUAGGGGCAACCGGAACAAACGGUGGAGCGGUGAAAUGCGUAGAUAUCGUUUGGAACGCCAAUGGUGAAAACAGGUUGCUGGGGGUGUGCUGACGCUGAGACACGAAAGCCAGGGGAGCAAACGGG